GAACCAACGAAACACUGGGCCGCCUACAGCGGAGCGCGCGAACUUAACCACUCGGCCACUGGGCCAGCCCCCCUGCAAAUGCUUUCUUAAUGGGUAUGAGAUCCUUGAGAACAGAAAUCACUGUCAUUUCUGUAUCCUGAGCAUUUAGAAGAUUAGCCCUGAGCUAACUAUUGCCAAUCCUCCUCUUUUUU